rnacentral:snRNA from 1 species
GUGCGGCCAACACGAGUCGC